CUGAUACAAAAUAUACAUGCAAAUACAUCAAAACAUUGGGAGCAUGAAAAGCAAGGAGCCCCAACAUGAAUAUUCCAUGGUGAUUGAACUAUCAUGAAAUCAAAAGGUGUAUCAUCUGCUUGAACAUGCUGAUCAUCUUGCCACUAAACUAGGUCCAUUCAAUACCAAUGUACUUCCAAAUUCCUUCAUCCUUCAGAACAUGAAGAGCUUCCACUUUGAGCAGAAGCCCCACCAGGCUUCAUAAAGGAAAUGAAGGUUACAAGCACCCAAGAAGGAAUCUCAGAUGACAAGUAGAAGGAGAGGUUACAAGAUGCUAGAGAGUUGUUCCAUGAGGGAUGAAUGAGCCAAGGUUGUCUUAGGGGUCUAAUACUUUUCAGACACCAAUCCUGAGGACAGUCUGCAAGUUUUUUGCUUUCUUGAAUCUUGAGGAAGAUUCCUGAGUUCCUUGCUCUGCAAAUGGCCCAAGAGAUUGCAACAAGCAGGUUGUCCCAAGCUUCUUGGAGAGGUCUAAUUGAGAUUUUCAAUCCCCAUACAGACCAGAAUUUUCUGAGAGUCAGCCUGUAAGGUGGGGGAAAGUUGCAGAGUACUCCAAUUGCAGUCCAGAAUAUUCUGAGCUUAGACACAGUUCCCUAAGAUGUUGUCAAUUGUUUUAGAAGUGCUUGGGCAUAAGAGGCAAGACAAUGUCUGAAUCCAUCCCUACUUAUUUAGAACAGCUCCGUGUUUAACCUGUCUUUUAAUGCAAGCGAGAAGAAGAUUGUGAUCUUAUCCAGAAAAUAGGUUAUCCAGAGGGCGAUAGCCAGUGGACAACUGACUCCUCUAUUAAGGAAGCAGUAGAAAGAACUAACUAAGAAGACACCAUUUGCAUUCCAUCGCCAUUCCCC
rnacentral:lncRNA from 1 species